CUUCAGGGCGGAGUGAAAUUCUCCACCGGCGGUAUUUGAAUUGAUAUUCAUAAGCCCGCGAGCCGUAAGGCAUGAACCAGUGAGAUUCUGGUGCCGACAGUAUAGUCUGGAUGGAAGAAGACA
rnacentral:ncRNA from 1 species